AUUAUUAUACAGUACUACCUGUGACUUUAUCUUAUUAAUGGUGGCCAUAAAAAAUAUGUUCACCAUGGUGGCCCUAUAUGUUCAUCAUCAUACCCCCUGUUGCUUUUUUAAUACACAAGGUAUUAAUCAAAAACUAGUCAAGGAUAAAGGGAAAUCUUGACUGCAUUGAAGUGUUAAAAUUAUAUAACUUACAGGUUAUGUGUCUCAGGUAAAAUAUACAUGUAUGUGUUUGUCAAAUUUAAUAACUGUGAUUAUGACAAGAAAUUCAAAAAUAA
rnacentral:lncRNA from 1 species